AGAACGAACGCUGGCGGCAUGCCUAACACAUGCAAGUCGAACGCUCUUGGGGCUUCGGUCUCAGGGGAGUGGCGCACGGGUGAGUAGCGCGUGGGAACCUGCCCUGUUGUGGGGGAUAACCGAGGGAAACUUCGGCUAAUACCGCAUAAGCCGGUUGUCUUGAAGGAGAUGGCCGGGAAAGAUUUAUCGCGACAGGAGGGGCCCGCGUCGGAUUAGCUAGUUGGUGGGGUAACGGCCCACCAAGGCGGUGAUCCGUAGCUGGUCUGAGAGGAUGAUCAGCCACACUGGGACUGAGACACGGCCCAGACUCCUACGGGAGGCAGCAGUGGGGAAUAUUGGACAAUGGGCGCAAGCCUGAUCCAGCAAUGCCGCGUGAGUGGUGAAGGCCUUAGGGUUGUAAAGCUCUUUCGCCCGCGACGAUGAUGACGGUAGCGGGAGAAGAAGCCCCGGCUAACUUCGCGCCAGCAGCCGCGGUAA
rnacentral:rRNA from 1 species